GACGAACGCUGGCGGCGUGCCUAACACAUGCAAGUCGAACGGAAAGGCCCUGCGUUUGUGGGGUGCUCGAUUGGCGAACGGGUGAGUAACACGUGAGUAUCCUGCCCUUGACUUUGGGAUAACUUCAGGAAACUGGGGCUAAUAUCGGAUAGGAUCUCCUGCUGCAUGGUGGGGGUUGGAAAGUUUCGGCGUUUGGGGAUGGACUCGCGGCUUAUCAGCUUGCUGGUGGGGUAGUGGAUUACCAAGGCUGUGACGGAUAGCCGGCCUGAGAGGGUGAACGGCGACAAGAGGACUGAGAGACGCAGCAGUAUCCAACGGGAGGCAGCGGUCGGAAGUAUGACGCAGUGAGCGCGAGCCAGAUGCGGAGGCGCCGGGUGCGGGAUGACGGCUUUUGGGUUAUGAACAGCUGUCGCCUGUGACGAAGCGUGAGUGACGGUAAUGAAUAAAGAAGCACCGGCUAACUACGUG
rnacentral:rRNA from 1 species